rnacentral:rRNA from 1 species
UCUGCCUACGGGGCGCAGCAGUGGGGGAUAUUGCACAAUGGGGGGAACCCUGAUGCAGCGACGCCGCGUGGGUGAAGAAGCGCCUCGGCGCGUAAAGCCCUGUCAGCAGGGAAGAAAAUGAAGGUACCUGAAGAAGAAGCCCCGGCUAACUACGUGCCAGCAGCCGCGGUAAUACGUAGGGGGCAAGCGUUAUCCGGAUUUACUGGGCGUAAGGGGGGCGCAGACGGCGAUGCAAGCCAGGAGUGAAAGCCCGGGUCCCAACCCCGGGGCUGCGCUUGGAACUGCGUGG